CCUACGGGAGGCAGCAGUGGGGAAUAUUGGACAAUGGGCGAAAGCCUGAUCCAGCAAUGCCGCGUGAGUGAUGAAGGCCUUAGGGUUGUAAAGCUCUUUUACCAGGGAUGAUAAUGACAGUACCUGGAGAAUAAGCUCCGGCUAACUCCGUGCCAGCAGCCGCGGUAAUACGGAGGGAGCUAGCGUUGUUCGGAAUUACUGGGCGUAAAGCGUACGUAGGCGGUUAUUCAAGUCAGAGGUGAAAGCCCGGGGCUCAACCCCGGAACUGCCUUUGAAACUAGAUAGCUAGAAUCUUGGAGAGGUUAGUGGAAUUCCGAGUGUAGAGGUGAAAUUCGUAGAUAUUCGGAAGAACACCAGUGGCGAAGGCGACUAACUGGACAAGUAUUGACGCUGAGGUACGAAAGCGUGGGGAGCAAACAGGAUUAGAUACCCUGGUAGUCCACGCCGUAAACGAUGAUAACUAGUUGUUCGGGCACUUGGUGCCUGAGUGACGCAGCUAACGCAUUAAGUUAUCCGCCUGGGGAGUACGGUCGCAAGAUUAAAAACUCAAAAUGAAUUGACGG
rnacentral:rRNA from 1 species